rnacentral:rRNA from 1 species
GACGAACGCUGGCGGCGUGCCUAAUACAUGCAAGUAGAACGCUGAAGUCUGGUGCUUGCACUAGACGGAUGAGUUGCGAACGGGUGAGUAACGCGUAGGUAACCUGCCUCAUAGCGGGGGAUAACUAUUGGAAACGAUAGCUAAUACCGCAUAACAGUAUUUACCGCAUGGUAGAUAUUUGAAAGGAGCAAUUGCUUCACUAUGAGAUGGACCUGCGUUGUAUUAGCUAGUUGGUGAGGUAACGGCUCACCAAGGCUUCGAUACAUAGCCGACCUGAGAGGGUGAUCGGCCACACUGGGACUGAGACACGGCCCAGACUCCUACGGGAGGCAGCAGUAGGGAAUCUUCGGCAAUGGGGGCAACCCUGACCGAGCAACGCCGCGUGAGUGAAGAAGGUUUUCGGAUCGUAAAGCUCUGUUGUAAGAGAAGAACUGUGAGAAGAGUGGAAAGUUUCUCACUUGACGGUAUCUUACCAGAAAGGGACGGCUAACUACGUGCCAGCAGCCGCGGUAAUACGUAGGUCCCGAGCGUUGUCCGGAUUUAUUGGGCGUAAAGCGAGCGCAGGCGGUUUGAUAAGUCUGAAGUAAAAGGCUGUGGCUUAACCAUAGUACGCUUUGGAAACUGUCAAACUUGAGUGCAGAAGGGGAGAGUGGAAUUCCAUGUGUAGCGGUGAAAUGCGUAGAUAUAUGGAGGAACACCGGUGGCGAAAGCGGCUCUCUGGUCUGUAACUGACGCUGAGGCUCGAAAGCGUGGGGAGCGAACAGGAUUAGAUACCCUGGUAGUCCACGCCGUAAACGAUGAGUGCUAGGUGUUGGGUCCUUUCCGGGACUCAGUGCCGCAGCUAACGCAUUAAGCACUCCGCCUGGGGAGUACGACCGCAAGGUUGAAACUCAAAGGAAUUGACGGGGGCCCGCACAAGCGGUGGAGCAUGUGGUUUAAUUCGAAGCAACGCGAAGAACCUUACCAGGUCUUGACAUCCCGAUGACCGCCCUAGAGAUAGGGUUUCUCUUCGGAGCAUCGGUGACAGGUGGUGCAUGGUUGUCGUCAGCUCGUGUCGUGAGAUGUUGGGUUAAGUCCCGCAACGAGCGCAACCCCUAUUGUUAGUUGCCAUCAUUCAGUUGGGCACUCUAGCGAGACUGCCGGUAAUAAACCGGAGGAAGGUGGGGAUGACGUCAAAUCAUCAUGCCCCUUAUGACCUGGGCUACACACGUGCUACAAUGGCUGGUACAACGAGUCGCAAGUCGGUGACGGCAAGCUAAUCUCUUAAAGCCAGUCUCAGUUCGGAUUGUAGGCUGCAACUCGCCUACAUGAAGUCGGAAUCGCUAGUAAUCGCGGAUCAGCACGCCGCGGUGAAUACGUUCCCGGGCCUUGUACACACCGCCCGUCACACCACGAGAGUUUGUAACACCCGAAGUCGGUGAGGUAACCUUUUAGGAGCCAGCCGCCUAAGGUGGGAUAGAUGAUUGGGGUGA